rnacentral:rRNA from 1 species
UGGAUAACAGGUUGAUAUUCCUGUACCACCUAUAAUCGUUUUAAUCGAUGGGGGGACGCAGUAGGAUAGGCGAAGCGUGCGAUUGGAUUGCAUGUCUAAGCAGUAAGGCUGAGUAUUAGGCAAAUCCGGUACUCAUUAAGGCUGAGCUGUGAUGGGGAGAAGACAUUGUGUCUUCGAGUCGUUGAUUUCACACUGCCGAGAAAAGCCUCUAGAUAGAAAAUAGGUGCCCGUACCGCAAACCGACACAGGUAGUCAAGAUGAGAAUUCUAAGGUGAGCGAGCGAACUCUCGUUAAGGAACUCGGCAAAAUGACCCCGUAACUUCGGGAGAAGGGGUGCUCUUUAGGGUUAACGCCCAGAAGAGCCGCAGUGAAUAGGCCCAAGCGACUGUUUAUCAAAAACACAGGUCUCUGCUAAACCGUAAGGUGAUGUAUAGGGGCUGACGCCUGCCCGGUGCUGGAAGGUUAAGAGGAGUGGUUAGCUUCUGCGAAGCUACGAAUCGAAGCCCCAGUAAACGGCGGCCGUAACUAUAACGGUCCUAAGGUAGCGAAAUUCCUUGUCGGGUAAGUUCCGACCCGCACGAAAGGCGUAACGAUUUGGGCACUGUCUCAACGAGAGACUCGGUGAAAUCAUAGUACCUGUGAAGAUGCAGGUUACCCGCGACAGGACGGAAAGACCCCGUGGAGCUUUACUGUAGCCUGAUAUUGAAAUUCGGCACAGCUUGUACAGGAUAGGUAGGAGCCUUUGAAACGUGAGCGCUAGCUUACGUGGAGGCGCUGGUGGGAUACUACCCUAGCUGUGUUGGCUUUCUAACCCGCACCACUUAUCGUGGUGGGAGACAGUGUCAGGCGGGCAGUUUGACUGGGGCGGUCGCCUCCUAAAAGGUAACGGAGGCGCUCAAAGGUUCCCUCAGAAUGGUUGGAAAUCAUUCAUAGAGUGUAAAGGCAUAAGGGAGCUUGACUGCGAGACCUACAAGUCGAGCAGGGUCGAAAGACGGACUUAGUGAUCCGGUGGUUCCGCAUGGAAGGGCCAUCGCUCAACGGAUAAAAGCUACCCCGGGGAUAACAGGCUUAUCUCCCCCAAGAGUUCACAUCGACGGGGAGGUUUGGCACCUCGAUGUCGGCUCAUCGCAUCCUGGGGCUGUAGUCGGUCCCAAGGGUUGGGCUGUUCGCCCAUUAAAGCGGUACGCGAGCUGGGUUCAGAACGUCGUGAGACAGUUCGGUCCCUAUCCGUCGUGGGCGUAGGAAAUUUGAGAGGAGCUGUCCUUAGUACGAGAGGACCGGGAUGGACAUACCUCUGGUGUACCAGUUGUCGUGCCAACGGCAUAGCUGGGUAGCUAUGUGUGGACGGGAUAAGUGCUGAAAGCAUCUAAGCAUGAAGCCCCCCUCAAGAUGAGAUUUCCCAACUUCGGUUAUAAGAUCCCUCAAAGAUGAUGAGGUUAAUAGGUUCGAGGUGGAAGCAUGGUGACAUGUGGAGCUGACGAAUACUAA